UAAAAGCAACCUAAGGAGCUUUGACUUUCCGAGCAAACAAACGAAGAGAGAAAUGCCGAUUUAGAGAUCAGGAUAUAAUGGAAGCACCUAAUAGACGGGAACACAAGGAAACGGAAUGAAUUUCGAUCACUCACAUCUCCUGGCCCGAAAUACCACGGUUUAACAUGCGUUGUUCUGUUAUUACGAUCGUCUUUUGAACAUUAUGGCGACCACGCGAGCAGACAAACUUCAGCCUGAGGUUGAAUGUGAAACAAAGAAACGUCCUGCAAUGUUUGAUCACCUUCCACCAUUAACAGUCCCACAGCCUGCAUACAGUGAAAAGCCGAGGAUAGUUGAGUAUGGAGCGUACACUAAAGCUGCACCUGUCAAGGAGAAGCAACACUAUAGAUAUGCCAGUGACUCCGUCGCCAAUAACUACACGCCUUCAGCUCAAACUCUAACAACGAAGCUCAUCUACAAAAAACACAAACAUGGGAGUGCUCCACCGACCCGCAGGAAUAUCGGACAGAAAAAGAGGCCCGGACAGUCGGAUACACGAAGUGAUAAAACCUACCAUUACACGACGAACAACUCAACAUCUCCACCGGGGACAUUCUCUUUGUUGUCAAAGACUACUUACACUUCAAAUACCCCAGGGGCCUCUACCAGGCUGGGUUAUACCAAGGGCAACUAUAGCUCAACACGAACAAGCCCCACAAGAGUUAAGGGCCCUCGUAGUGAGAUCGAUGCUUCGGAGGGUAACAAAAUCAUCGGACUUGACAACUCUAUUUUAGCGAGUACCAAACCGCCUACAAUGAAGCGCGUUCGAUCGGCAGGGCCUUCAUUGAAUACUGAAACUACAUCGGACAUGCGCGAUAGUGGUUUUCAUGGUCAUGACGAGACACCAGCGGAAUCGCUCGAUUUGAAACGGCCAAAAGUCGCAUGGGGUAGCCCCCAGGGUGCGGACGAGGAAAUCGCCUCCAAUGGCCACGAUGUGAAUGGGAAUACUGUGGGGGGAGGGGUAGGGAGCAGCUUAAAGGGGGCAAGAGACUACGAUGAAGAUACGCAGUCUGUUCUGAGUAUAAGGUUUCCACCGGCAUCUACUGUGACGCUUGGUCUUCCGCGGGCGGUCCUACCUUCAGAGUCACAGGAGAAAAGGUAUUAUAACCUGGCAGAGAAUUCCAUCAGUCCCAGCAUGGUCGCUCCAUUGAGCGAGGAAUGGAAGCAAAAGGCGCAUGACUUCGUGGCUAAAGAACUCCGCGACACGCACAAGUCAACUCUGCACAGCCUAGAUGAAGAAAUGGAAGCGGAGUACGUAAAAAGCGUGAAGAAGAGCAUUCUGGACUAUGUCCUGCUCGACCCAGCGGAACAGAGAAGACUAGGGCUACACAUGCCUGAACAGUCUGUCUUUUCUGCCGGUAGGGAGCCCUAUCCAUGGCACGAGCGGGUAGUAUUGUGCAAAGAGCAGCUAGAACAACACUUGUUUAUCACUCAUCCCGUGUUAAGGAACCUUCUAUACCUCUGGGAAACACAAUUUUCCAAGCUACGUUUAAUAGAUAUUGCAGGCCUUCAGUCAUCCCUCCCCCUGAGAGUAGAGGAUUUGUAUCGCCAUGUACAGGACACAUGUUCACAGGGAUCCCACAGGCUGAAGGAGGAGUGGAUACCAGAAUGUGUCCGUAUAAUAAGUGAAGCUAGGGAUGAAAUCGAGGAUAUCAUGCCAGAUACAGAGGAAGCCCGCGUUCAGAUGAUGGACCAUUUUUUCGCUUGUGUCGCGUCACUCAUGUCCAACAACCUUCGCAGUUGCGUGUACGCAUCCAUUGAGGAUCUACUGUCAUUCAUUGGCGCCUAUCACCAUGGAAACGACUUUGAGGGGGAGUUUGCACGUGGCCUUCCCGUGAAACCGCAACCAAUACUACUCACCGUGAUUCCAGACAUGGAUGACGUCACGGUCGCAUUUGACCCCACCUUCGCCAUAGUGACCGGGACACUUCACUCCGUGGUGGAGGACAUGGUGACUAGUGUCCAGGGCCUUGAGCGAGUGGAGCAUCAGCUGUUUUACGAGGAGGACUGGAUGAAAGGGAGGCACAUAAACGCGGUGGGGCUCGACGAGGAGCGCGUAGAAGGGGCCAAGGCCAUGCUCGCAAAGGUCGUAGAAGCUAACAGCGCUGGACCUCUCAAGUUCCGCAAGGUGUACGACGCGUUCCGUUAUCUUUUGAACCUAGACUCCGACCGUCGCACGGCCAACUUCAUACAGGGAGACCACCACUUGUUGCAGUACGGGCGAGAGUUGGAGAAACUUUAUUCACUGUCAAGAGCCGCGGCAUCCAUGGACCUCACCAUUCCCAUGGAGCUAUUCGAGAUUCACUGUAAAGGCAUGAACGAGUUCUUGACCAAGCGUGCCGCGGACCUUGUGGACGUGAUUGUGACCAAGCUGACCAAGCAAAGCUUAGCGUUUAACCGGUCCAUAUGUACUAAGUAUGAUCACAUCGUCGUGCGCGUCACGACACACGCCAAGACGACAGACGAACUGGUAGACUUGGAGAAAUACCUCGAAAAUAUACGAAGCGGGCCUUUACUACUUCUUAAGACCGAGCUCGAUGAGGCCGCUGAGCUUGUGCUGUUUAUCAUGGACCACACCUUCCUGACCGACGAACAUCUUCACUUGAACGAGACGACUUUCACGUGGCCGGAGCGCAUCCUCCCUAUCAUUGAAGUCAGUGAAACGCGCAUCAGUCGCGAACACGAGACGCAGUUAAACAAGCUGUUUGAUUGGCUCGCCAAGUUCGAGAAGCAAUUGAACGACACCCUGGCCAGCAUCAAGGACUUCCACUCCAAGGACAGGAUCUCUGAGUCCAAAACGUACCUCGGACUGCUUGACCAACUGAAUGAGCAAGUACAGAAAUACCUGGACGAGAGGAAGAGGAUCAACAAGGAGGAAGAUCUCUUGGGCGUGGAGAUCCGCAGCACCUUUCCUCAGAUCAGCGAGAUCAUCGACGCCAAAGAGCCGUUUGACAAGCUGUGGCGCGCUGUCGUCCGGUUUCACGACCACCAGGAAGGUUGGCUGUCCGGACCACUACUGAAACUCAACGCGGAAGAGAUAGAGGAAGAAGUAUCAGAUUUGUGGCGCACGAGUUACAAGCUGACCAAAGAGUUCGCAGGCUCAGCUGACCUUCGCGGCCCUCUUCGCGUGGCGUCCACAGUAAAGGCCAGGCUGGAGAACUUCAAGAUCAACAUGCCACUCAUCCACGCGCUAUGCACGCCGGGAAUCAAGCAAAGGCAUUGGGAGAUGAUGAGUAUGAAGGUUGGGUUCAAUAUCGCGCCCAAAUCGGACACGACGCUCAACGAGAUGUUGGCUCUGGGUCUCGAGAAGUUCGUCGAUGACUUGGCGGAGAUUAGCGGGCGGGCGGCCAAGGAAUUCUCACUUGAAAAGGCGAUGGACAAGAUGCACCAGGAAUGGAAUGGAAUGGAAUUCGCGUUUGUCGAGUACAAAGACACAGGAAUCAGCAUCUUGUCUGCCGUCGAUGACUUACAGGUCCUGCUUGAUGAUCACAUUGUGAAGACCCAGACAAUGAAGGGCUCGCCGUUCAUUGGUCCGUUUGAAGCUGACGUCAAAGAAUGGGAAACCAAACUGAAUCUGAUGCAAGACAUCGUGGAGUCAUGGCUUAAGGUUCAAGCUUCAUGGCUGUACCUGGAACCUAUCUUCUCGUCUGAAGAUAUCCAAGCGCAAAUGCCGGACGAGGGAGGCAAGUUCAGGACCGUCGACAAAUACUGGAGAAAGAUCAUGACGGAGUCGGUGAAGAACCCGAACGCUUUGGUGGUCACGGCUCAGCCGGAGAUGCUCGACAGACUUCAAGUUUCUGAGGGCUUGUUGGAAGACAUUCAAAGAGGGCUCAAUGACUACCUGGAGAAAAAGCGACUUUUCUUUCCAAGGUUUUUUUUCUUGUCUAACGAUGAGCUGCUCGAGAUCCUAUCAGAGACCAAGGACCCACUUCGUGUUCAACCUCACCUGAAGAAGUGCUUUGAGGGAAUCGCCAAACUCGAGUUCAACGAUUCGAAAGAGAUAAACGCCAUGAUAUCUACGGAGGGGGAGACGGUCAAGUUCUCCAGGAAGAUCAUUCCUGCGAACUCACGCGGACUCGUGGAGAAGUGGCUACUUGAGAUCGAGAAGAUGAUGAAGCUGAGCCUACGAGAGGUGACAGCGGAAGCUGUUGCAGCCUAUCUCCAGUCCCCGCGCACCGAAUGGGUUCUGUCGUGGCCUGGGCAGGUUGUACUAGCAACUGGGAUUAUAUACUGGACCCAGGAAGUCACUCAGGCGAUGCCGCGGCCAAACGGUCUUGGGGACUACUACAAGCACAGCACCCGACAGAUUGAGGACAUCGUGGAGCUGGUCCGCGGUAAACUCACCACUAUGGCCCGUAUCACAUUGGGUGCGCUUAUUGUCAUCGAUGUACACGCACGUGACGUUGUGGCUAAGCUGGUGGAGGAUCAAGUGACGGACCCCGCGGACUUCCAGUGGAUCAGCCAGCUGCGGUAUUACUGGGAGAGUAAGUCCGUCAUGGUCAAGAUGAUCACCACCACUGUCAAGUACGCUUAUGAGUACCUCGGGAACUCCGGCCGUCUGGUCAUAACACCACUAACGGAUCGCUGCUACAGGACGCUCAUGGGUGCGCUGUUACUGAACCUUGGAGGUGCACCCGAAGGGCCUGCCGGGACGGGAAAAACGGAGACUUGCAAGGACCUCGCUAAGGCUGUGGCGAAACAGUGUGUGGUUUUCAACUGUUCAGAUGGCCUGGACUAUAAAGCCAUGGGAAAGUUCUUCAAGGGUUUGGCGCAGUCUGGCGCCUGGGCCUGCUUCGACGAGUUCAACAGGAUUGAGCUAGAGGUCCUGUCAGUUGUAGCCCAGCAGAUUUUGACCAUUCAGCGCGCGGUCAUGGACCAAGUGGCCAAGUUUGUGUUCGAAGGCACGGAGAUUUCACUCGAUCCAACUUGCACCAUGUUUAUUACCAUGAACCCUGGCUACGCCGGACGGGCCGAGCUACCGGACAACCUCAAGGUGUUGUUCCGCACAGUGGCGAUGAUGGUGCCGGACUAUGCGCUCAUCAGUGAGAUCAGUCUGUAUUCUAUGGGGUUCGUGAACGCGCGAAGUUUGUCCGCAAAGAUCGUUGCCGUCUACAGGCUUUGCAGUGAGCAGCUUUCGUCUCAACACCAUUAUGAUUACGGAAUGCGAGCCGUGAAGUCGGUACUGACGGCAGCUGGAAACCUCAAACUUAAAUUCCCGCAACAAAGCGAAGAGAUUCUAAUGCUGCGGUCCAUUAUGGAUGUCAACUUACCCAAGUUCUUAUCUCAAGACUUACCUCUGUUCGAGGGCAUCGUCUCGGAUCUGUUCCCCGGGAUUCAGCUGCCGAACCCUGAGCAUGGGGUCCUGGAGGAUGCCAUCGUGGCCAACAUCAGGCGUCUGGGACUGCAGCCCGUACCGUGGUUCAUCGAGAAGAUCAUACAGAUUUAUGAGAUGAUGUUGGUUCGUCAUGGGUUCAUGAUCGUGGGGGAUCCCCUUGGCGGCAAGACUUCGGCUUGGAAAGUGCUUGCGGCGGCGCUCACGGAGAUGGGAGACGAUGAGUUCUCGGGAGAGUCACCGCUGAUAGACUACGGAGAAGAUGUGGAAGAUGAAGAUGAACAGAAAGACAUGACUGUUUAUUAUCGCAUCAUCAACCCCAAGGCGGUGACGAUGGGGCAAUUGUACGGACGAUUCGACCCAGUCUCCCAUGAGUGGUCUGACGGCGUCCUGGCGAACACGUUUCGUGAGCACGCCUCCUCCACAUCACAAGACCGCAAGUGGAUCGUGUUCGAUGGGCCGGUUGACGCCGUGUGGAUUGAAAACAUGAAUACCGUACUGGAUGACAAUAAGAAGCUUUGCCUGAUGAGCGGUGAGAUUAUUCAGAUGAGCAACAGACAAAACAUGAUCUUUGAGCCCCAAGACCUGGAGCAGGCGUCACCCGCCACCGUGAGCAGGUGCGGUAUGAUUUACAUGGAGCCUAUUCGACUCGGAGUAGAGCCCUUGGUGACGUCAUGGAUGGAGAGUGAGUUUCCCGCCAACCUUUCACCUGCACACAGGGAGGCCAUUCAGCUGAUGUUCGACUGGCUCUUGCCUCCGAGUACAGACUUCGUCCUCAGGAACUGCGUCGGUUUCGUCAAGAUGUCGCCCAUGCACAUGACGAAGGCAAUGCUGACCUUAUAUGGAACUCUACUGGACGAGCUCAGAGAGGACCCUAUCGAGUCUAUGAAAUCAGAGAUAAAUGAAGAUUUUGAGGACGAAGAGUCCCAAGAGGAGAGGGGUGGGGCAGACGAGAAGCCCCCGCGGUCCGAGGCUGAGAACAUGCAAUGGCUUCAGUCACUGUUCCUGUUCUCGUUGUGCUGGUCCAUUGGUGGUCACUUGGACAGAGAUUCCAGAGAGAAGUUCAGUGACUUCAUCAAGGUGCUGGUAGCGGGGACCAACAAACAACACCCAAGACCUAACAACCUGAAGCUUCCUAAGAGUUAUCAGUUCCCCGGAAAGGGUUUGAUCUACGAUUUCUUUUUUGACAAGUCGACAUUCGGCACAUGGCAUCCGUGGGAGAAGAACGUUCCCGAGACCGAGAUAACCGCGAAUACCAAGCCAAAUGAAGUGAUGAUAGCGACAACAGAGACAGUACGUCAGCAGUACUUUCUAGAACUGAUGAUAACACAUGAGAAACCGCUCCUGCUGGUAGGGCCGACGGGGACCGGGAAGACCGCCAUCACAAACCACUACGUGCUUAAAAUGCCUUCCGACGGAUACAUCGCCAACUUUAUGAACUUCUCGGCGCAGACGACAGCUAAUCAGACCCAGGACCUCGUGCUCGCUAAACUAGACAGGCGGAAGCGUGGUACGUACGGUCCCCCACCUGGUAAGAAAUGCAUUGUGUUUGUCGACGAUCUCAAUAUGCCUGCCAAAGAAAAGUAUGGUGCCCAGCCUCCUAUAGAGGUGCUUCGCCAUUGGGCCGACCAUGGAUACUGGUUUGACAGGAAAGACACGUCUAUGCUCCACCUGGUAGACCUGUUACUGCUGGCCGCCAUGGGGCCUCCUGGAGGGGGAAGAAAUGAGAUCACCCCUCGCUUCCUCUGCCACUUUAACGUGGUGUCCAUUGACUCGUUCACCGUCGAGACUAUGAAGAGUAUCUUUUCCGUCAUCAUGGAUUGGCACUUUAACCGGGGAUUCGAAAAUCAGCUGCGAAGGUUCUCAAAGAUCAUGAUUACUGCAACGAUCGAGAUCUACACACAAGCCAUCACCAGCUUCCUUCCCACCCCCUCCAAGUCACACUAUGUGUUCAACUUGCGUGACUUUGCGCGUGUGGUACAGGGGAUCUUACUUUUCCCAGGCCCGUGCGCAAGUGAUGCCGGGAAGAUCAUGAGGCUCUGGGUACACGAAGUCUACCGAGUGUUUUACGACAGACUUGUUGACCAGGAAGACCGCCAGUGCUUCUUUGAGAUGGUCAAGACUGUGUUGGCAAACGAGUUCAAGGAAAAGAUCAAUAACGUGUUCCAGCACCUGACACCACGCGGAGGGAAUGUUACAGAUGAUAACCUGAGGAGCCUGUUCUUUGGUGAUUUUGUGGACCGUAAAGCCAACCCCCGACUUUACGACGAGAUUCAAGACAUGGAGCAACUCAGCGAGGUGAUGGAAAUCUACCUGGAUGACUACAACAUCUCUUCUAAAGCCCCAAUGGACUUAGUCAUGUUCCGCUUUGCUAUCGAGCAUGUCUCGCGGAUCUGUCGCGUACUCAGACAACCAAAUGGACAUGCCUUACUUGUAGGUAUCGGUGGAUCCGGUCGAGCUAGUGCCACCAAGCUUGCAGCCUUCAUGUCGGACUACGAGCUGUUCCAGAUCGAGAUCGCCAAGACGUACACUUUCAUGGACUGGCGAGAGGACGUUAAGCGCAUGCUCAGAAGGGCUGGCGACGAAGACGUGUCUACCGUGUUCUUGUUUGGGGAUCACCAGAUCAAGGACGAAGCAUUUCUUGAAGACAUCAACAUGAUCCUGAAUACGGGUGACGUGCCGAACAUCUACGAGCACGACGAGAAAGCCGAGAUUAUAGAAAAGAUGCAGUCGAUCGUCCAGGAGCGCAACCUCAAAGUGGAUUCCAGUCCUCUCGCCAUGUACAACUUCUUCAUCGAGCGCGUGCGCAGAAACCUCCACGUGGUACUCGCCAUGAGCCCUAUCGGCGACGCCUUCAGGAAUCGACUGCGCAUGUUCCCUUCUCUCAUCAAUUGCUGUACAAUCGACUGGUUUCAGGCGUGGCCAGAAGACGCCCUUGAGAUGGUGGCCAACAAGUUCCUGGACGAGGUGGAAAUGUCCAGGGAGGUCCGACAGGAGUGUGUGUCCAUGUGCAAGCACUUCCAUCAGAGCGUCCGAUCAAUCUCCGAGAGAUACUUCGCGAUCCUACGACGUCAUAACUACGUCACACCUACGUCAUACCUUGAGCUCAUCAAGACUUUCAAGUCUCUGCUGGAGAAGAAAAGGCUUCAGAUUCUCACCAUGAAGAGCCGCUACCUGAAAGGGCUUGACAAACUCGACUUCGCCUCACAGCAGGUGGCCAUCAUGCAGCAGGAACUCCAAGAGUUACAACCGGAGCUUAUCCAGACGAGCAAAGAGACAGAAGAUCUCAUCAAAAUUAUCGCCGAGGAGACGCUAGAAGUCGAGGACAAAAAGCGGAUUGUACAAGCUGACGAGGAAGAGGCUAAUAAGGCUGCCAAAGAGUCACAGGCUAUGAAGGACGAGUGUGAAGAAAAGCUCGCUGUAGCGAUGCCUGCAAUGAAUGCAGCUAUUGCAGCGUUGGACACGCUCAAGCAACAAGACAUUACUCUCGUCAAGUCCAUGACGAACCCCCCUGCAGGUGUAAGGAUGGUCAUGGAGGCAGUUUGUAUACUCAAGGGGGUAAAAGCAGAGAAAAAGAACGUGGAUGGCAAGCAGAUCGAAGACUAUUGGGCUUCCUCAAAGAAGCUUCUUAGCGACAUGAAGUUCCUUGAGGGUCUGAAGGUGUAUGACAAAGACAACAUCCCCGCUGCUUACAUUCGCAAGAUCCGAGAGAAGUACAUAAGCAACCCUGACUUCCAUCCCUCGCUCAUCAAGAAUGUCUCGUCAGCAUGCGAGGGCUUGUGCAGCUGGGUCCGAGCAAUAGAGGUCUACGAUAGGGUUGCUAAGCUCGUAGCGCCGAAGCGCAAGCGUCUAGAGGAAGCGGAGGCUACGCUAGCAGACCAGAUGGCGCAUCUGAACGAAAAGCGAGGCGAGCUCAAGAAAGUCGUCGAUAAACUUGACAACCUUAACGAUGACUACAAGGCAAAGAUCGGCAAGAAACAGGAGCUGGAGCGGAACAUCACAAUGUGCUCCAAGAAGCUCUUGCGCGCCGAGAAGCUGCUGAGUGGACUUGGGGGAGAGCGGACACGCUGGACCCAGGUAGCCAAGGAGUUGGAAUCUACUUACAUCAACAUCGUGGGCGAUGUGCUGCUAUCUGGAGGCAUUGUGGCGUACCUCGGGCCAUUUACUGUCGAGUUCAGGCAGGAAUGCAUCAAGGAGUGGUGGAGCCUUUGUCGGGAGAAGAACAUUCCGGUAUCUGACGUCUUCUCGCUCGCUGCCACACUCGGGGACCCUGUGGUAACAAGAUCCUGGCAUAUUGCCGGGCUACCUGUGGACAAUUUUUCCAUCGAUAAUGCGAUCGUUGUGUCGAACUCUCAACGCUGGCCGUUGAUGAUCGACCCUCAAGGCCAGGCCAACAAGUGGGUGAAGAACAUGGAGAGGCCCAACAAGCUUCAGGUCAUCAAGCUGUCGGACGCUAACUAUGUGCGCACUCUCGAAAAUAGCAUACAGUUCGGCACGCCCGUCUUGCUUGAGAAUGUUGGCGAAGAACUCGACCCGCUGCUUGAGCCUCUGCUCCUGAAACAGACUUUCAGACAGGGAGGCAUAGAGUAUCUCCGUCUGGGUGAUCACUUGGUUGAGUUUAGCAAGGACUUCCGGUUCUAUAUAACUACGCGCCUGCGCAAUCCACACUACCUACCGGAAGUCUCCAUAAAGGUCACGCUGCUCAACUUCAUGAUCACGCCUCUCGGUCUAGAAGAUCAACUGCUGGGUAUCGUGGCCGCGAAAGAGAAACCGGAGCUCGAGGAAAAGAAGAAUGCGCUCAUCCUAGAGAGUGCGCAGAACAAGAAACAGUUAAAGGAAAUCGAAGACAAGAUCCUCGAAGUGUUAUCUACGAGUGAGGGGAACAUCCUUGAGGAUGAAACUGCGAUUGAGAUUCUGUCUUCAAGUAAGAAACUGUCGGGAGAAAUCUCUGAGAAGCAAGAAAUCGCAACGAAAACAGAAAAAGAAAUCGACGAGACGCGCGGGGGAUACAAACCGGUCGCCAAGCACUCGUCCAUAUUGUUCUUUACCAUCUCGUCCCUGGCAAACAUAGAGCCGAUGUACCAGUACUCGCUAACAUGGUUCAUGAACCUCUACCUCCAGUCGAUAAACAAUAGCGAGCGGUCACCGGACCUUAACAGAAGAAUUCGAAACUUAAACGACCACUUCUCUUACAGCGUGUACGUGAACGUGUGCAGAUCGCUGUUCGAGAAAGACAAGCUCCUCUUUUCGUUUCUUCUCUGCAUUGGAAUCCAGCAGGGAAUCGGCAAGAUCAACGAGCAGGAGUGGCGGUUUCUUUUGACGGGGGGCGUGGCCUUAGAAUGCAAAUUCCCUAAUCCAGCCGCUGAUUGGCUGACAGACAAGUCAUGGGCGGAGCUAGUCCGCUGCUCAGACCUCCCUGCCUUCAGUGGGCUCAUGAAGCACUUCUCGGAGAAUUUGGAAACGUGGAAGGCGUUUUACGACACUCCCAGCCCCCAGUCCGAGCCGCUGCCUGAGCCUUGGAAUGAUGACCUGAACCGCCUGGAGCACCUGAUCGUCCUGCGCUGCUUGAGGCCCGACAAGGUGACUGAAGCAGUCCAGGACUACAUCGUGUUCCAUAUGGAGGGCAAGUAUAUCGAGCCGCCCACCCUUGACCUCGCCAAGUGUUACGAGGACUCCGACUGCUGUGUACCGCUUAUCUUUGUAUUGUCUCCGGGCGCUGAUCCCAUGGCCAGCCUCCUGAAAUUCGCCGAGGACACAGGUAUGGGGAGGUCGCACGUGCAGACAGUAUCGCUCGGACAAGGGCAGGGUCCUGUCGCCGGAAAACUUAUCGCUAACGCGCUGGUGGACGGAGACUGGGUCGUGUUACAAAAUUGUCAUCUCGCCAUCUCCUGGCUCCCUGUGCUGGAGAAAGUCUGUGAAGAGGUUAUCAUCCCUGAAAGGACGCAUAAAAAGUUUCGCCUUUGGCUGACAAGCUAUCCCACAGACAGGUUCCCAGUUUCUAUUCUACAAAACGGUGUGAAGAUGACGAAUGAGCCUCCAAAGGGACUGAGAGCUAACCUCCUGCGCUCAUACCACAGCGACCCCAUAUCGGACCCAAGCUUCUUUAAUGGAUGCAACAAACCUAAAGUUUGGAAGAAGCUUCUGUUUGGUCUGUGUUUCUUUCACGCGUCUGUCCAGGAACGUCGUAAAUUCGGUCCCCUCGGCUGGAACAUCCCCUACGAGUUCAACGAAUCAGAUCUUAGAAUAAGUGUCAAACAGCAACAGAUGUUUAUCAACGAGUACGAGAAGACGCCGCUGGAUGCGCUCACAUACCUGACCGGACAUUGUAACUAUGGCGGACGCGUUACGGACGACCGGGACAGGCGGUUGAUCAUGAGUUUGCUGUCAAUAUUCUAUUGCCCAAAAGUGAUAAGCGACGAUGGCUACAAGUUCUCUCCAAGUGGCAGCUACUUCGCACCACGAGAGGGAUCUUACGACUCGUACCUCGAGUACAUCCGGGGCCUACCUCUAACUCCACACCCAGAGAUUUUUGGUCUUCACGAAAAUGCUGAUAUUACAAAGAAUCAGCGGGAGACACAACAAUUGUUUGACGGCAUCUUAUCUACUUUACCCAGACAGACGUCUAGUGGGGGAAAGUCUUCACAGGAAGUCAUUGAAGAGCUGGCCGCAGACAUCUUGUCUAAGAUACCAUCAGACUUCAAUACCGAGCAAGUGCAGAAAAAGUACCCUGUGAGAUAUGAGGAGUCGAUGAACACUGUACUCCUACAAGAGCUCAUCAGGUUCAACCGUCUAACUCGAGUCGUUCGCUCAAGUCUUCAAGACAUCAAGAAAGCCAUCAAGGGCUUGGUUGUCAUGUCAUCAGAGUUGGAGGAUGUUUUUGGGAGUAUGCUUGUAGGCAAGGUCCCCGCGAUGUGGGCGGCCAAGUCCUAUCCCUCGCUGAAACCGCUGGGCAGUUAUGUCACGGAUCUCGCUGCGCGGAUCACCUUCUUCAAGAGCUGGAUUGAUCAUGGACCGCCAAACGUCUUCUGGAUUUCCGGGUUCUAUUUCACGCAAUCUUUCUUGACAGGAGCGACGCAAAACUUCGCGAGAAAGUACAAGAUUCCCAUCGACCAUCUCGGGUACGCCUUCGACGUGAUGGACGACAGCGAUGACCUCGACGGAAAACCGGUUAGUACAUGUUAGUUCAGGUAAAACCGGUUAGUACAUGUUAGUUCAGGUAAAACCGGUUAGUACAUGUUAGUACAGGGUAAAACCGGUUAGUACAUGUUAGUCUGUGUUACGACAUGUUUUGGGUCGCGGGUAAAACCGGUUAGUACAUGUUAUUACAGGGUAAAACUGGUUAGUACAUGUUAGUACAGGGUAAAACCGGUUAGUACAUGUUAGUACAGGGUAAAACCGGUUAGUACAUGUUAGUACAGGGUAAAACCGGUUAGUACAUGUUAGUACAGGGUCAAACCGGUUAGUACAUGUUAGUACAGGGUAAAACCGGUUAGUACAUGUUAGUACAGGGUCUGUGUUACGACAUGUUUUGGGUCGCGGGAAAAGAUGUGCAUUCCAAUUCAAUCUUUAGUGUACUCUGCCGAUCGUUGUCUACAUAUUAUUGUCACAGUUUUCUUACAUAUCCGUAUGGAAAAAAGGAAGUUUACACGUUUUAACUUAAAAAGAAACUAAUCGUAAGUUUAAACUUAUAACUUAACUUAUAAAUGUCUUUCUUUUGUUCAACGUUAAUUCACUGUUAGUUUCAGGGAGUUAUUUUUACUCCACUCAGAGAGUAAAAACUACUCUUUGCGAUGGAGUACUUUUAAAGGAGUAAUUUGAACUCCUUUAUUGGAGUAAAAACUACUCCACUGAGGAGUGAUUUUUUUGUUUACUCCCUUAACGGAGUAAGUUUUACUCUGCUGAGAAUUAGUAUCGAAUGUUUAUUAGAAAAAGAGUAAUUUUCACUCUUGUUGGUCAAAUAAUGGAGUAAAAAGUACUCUUUUCUGGGAGUAAUUUUAGCAGAGUAAAAGCUACUCCAACUAUCUGAAGUGAAAAGAGUUAUUUUUACUCCAGAUGGUCAAGAAAUGGAGUAAAAAAGUACUCCUUUUAGGGGGUAGGUUUUGAAGAGUAAAAACUACUCCAGCCAUCUCGUGUUGAAAGAGUAGUUUUUACUCCAGCUGUAUCUUUUUAGAGCAGUAACAAACCACUCCAAAUAUAUAAAAUAAAGAGAGUUGUUUUUUUACUCUGAAUUAGCUGAAUUUAAGAAGGACAACGAUAGUCUUUAUUAUAUAAGACAAGAUAAAAAUAAUAAUUUAUCGUAUUUAUUGGUAUUGAGACAAAAAACUCUACCCUGUGCCUAGGAGUUUCCUAAGAUUUCCUAAGUUCGAUCAAAACAACAAAAUAUGAUUAAACUUCCUAAAAAUUCCUAGGAUUUCCUAGUAUAAGCAGUAGACCAGAAAAUUGAAAUAAUUUGGAUAAGAAAAUCUUAGGAAGAAGAUUUGAAGUUCUACAAUUUAGGAACUCUUAGGAAAUUCUUAGGAAAUCCUAAAAGAACAUUUUCAAUACAAGAACAGGCCUCGCCAUACUUGCAUAUAUUGUCAGCUAUACUACAACAAUAAGAAAUGUAAUCAAAGACAGGCUUGGACUCGAACAUGAGUUUUAUGUGGUGUACUUUCAAAAUUCGCUCAGAAUAAUUAGUACUGCAUUUAAAAGAAAGAUAGGUAGGGUGAUAAUUGUAUAAAAUUCUUAGAUCCGAUUUGAAUAUUAUAAAAUAAUAUAUAUUGUUUCUAAUAGAAAUGCUACUUGAGAUUAUAUAAAAAAUAGAAGUCCCGCUUUGCAGAUAGAAGACGGCUCACCAGGGCCCGUAAAACCAAAAUGUACCGGGCGUCCCUCGCUUUAGUGGCCGAGAGGGGCUUGGGCCCAAGGCGCAAAAUCAUAACGGUCGAACGAAAGCCAUUAUCAUAACCUCCAAAAGAUAGCCGUUUAUUACCGUCUUUUCUACGCGUAAUCCACCUUUUUUGAGGAUUUGAUGGCAGAACAUGGAUUGAAGUUAAAGGACAUUAUGAUAGAGAUAGUAAAAUGUGCUCGAGUUGAAAGCCAGAAAAGAAAGAAGUUUGAGGUAUAAGGAAUGUAUCAAUGCGUAAAUCGCAAGAAACGAAUAAAAAACUUUGUAAACUUAAGUUAUUCACUAAUCACUGUACUUACAUCUAAAGCGCCUAUGCUUUAUAAACUGUUACUUGAAGCACAAAAUUGAAUAACUUAGCUUAGUAAAAACCUAGUAACCAGUCUUGCACCUAAAAUUUGUCCAGAUAUUUAUUUUGAAUAUCUAAUGUUACUGUAGUUGGUUUUUGUCCGUAUAUUCUGAUCACAGUAAACCCUGCAUAUGAAGAACCUAGUUAUCUUUUCAAGCUAGCCUACCAGGUUCAAAUUUAAAUGGUGCAUAUAGAGGCAUUAGGCUUCUAGCUUCUUAUCUGAAUUUACAAAGAUGGGGGAGGAGGCAGUUCUUUUGGAAAACCGUAAUGACGCCAAAAAGGGUAAUGUUCAAAAGCUGUUAAAGUUGUUAUA